GUUACCUACGGGACGCAGCAGUGGGGAAUAUUGCGCAAUGGGCGAAAGCCUGACGCAGCGACGCCGCGUGAGGGAUGAAGGUCUUCGGAUCGUAAACCUCUGUCAGCAGGGAAGAACGGUCACUGUGCUAAUCAGCAGUGAAUUGACGGUACCUGACUAAGAAGCCCCGGCUAACUACGUGCCAGCAGCCGCGGUAAUACGUAGGGGGCAAGCGUUAUCCGGAUUUACUGGGUGUAAAGGGAGCGUAGACGGCAUGGCAAGCCAGAUGUGAAAUACCGGGGCUCAACCCCGGGACUGCAUUUGGG
rnacentral:rRNA from 1 species